rnacentral:rRNA from 1 species
UACAGAGGGUGCAAGCGCUGUUCGGAAUUAUUGGGCGUAAAGCGCGUGUAGGCGGCUUUGCAAGUCGGGUGUGAAAUCCCUCAGCUUAACUGAGGAAGUGCGCCCGAAACUGCCGAGCUUGAGUACCGGAGAGGGUGGCGGAAUUCCCCAAGUAGAGGUGAAAUUCGUAGAUAUGGGGAGGAACACCGGUGGCGAAGGCGGCCACCUGGACGGAUACUGACGCUGAGACGCGAAAGCGUGGGGAGCAAACAGG